CGGGUGCUGCCCGGUGCGUUAGGCGCCUUUAUCCCUGGGACCAACACUACCUCACGGGAGCUGUCCCUGCCGGAGCCGUGGUUUCGGUAUAUGGCGCCCACCUUAACCGUGGGGUCGCAGAGGAUAUCCGGAGCCGACGGCCGGCGUGGCCCCGUC
rnacentral:other from 1 species